rnacentral:lncRNA from 1 species
GCUUUGACAAAGAAACAAUUCAAAGCUAAUUUAACAAGAGGAAGACCGCAAACGUAAUUGGAUGGUAUUAUUGACAUCUUUUAUAAUAUUGACUCAACAUAUAUAAUGUUGACUGCGAAUUCAAUUUCAAUGAAACUAGUUUUGAUACAAUUAAAUAAUAACGGAAUCGUGACAAUUACCUUAAAUGAAAUAUGCAGUACAAAACUUUUCCCUAUUUAUUAAAGAGUGGUUGAACCAAUUUAUCAUUAGGAAAAAAACAUUUUGCCGAUCAAGUUUUCAUCGCAAAGUGAUUAACACCUAAAGCUCUAUCGACGUGGCUAAUUUCCGGAAUAUAAUCUGUACACAAGAUAGACUAUAUAGAAGAAGCUAAAAAAGGAAAUUGAAUUAUUCAUUUAUCAGGAAAAAAGCAGCGGGACAGAGUUGAAACUAGAUAUCUGACAUUCACACGAAAGAAUAAAAAUAAAACUUUUUAGAAAUCAUUUAAGCGGCAUCAUCAACAAACUAAAGAUGAAAGGAUGGAUAUUCAGGCUCAAGUCAGCAUCAACAAAACUUACACUUUUUUAAAAGAUGGAUUAUAUCACAAAUUUUUACUAUUGAAAUAUACACUUGACUGCGAUCGAUUGGUCUAUCUAAAUACCUUCCGUUACAUUGACAGUAUUAUGACAUAGAACCUGUCUUUGUCGUCGUAUUACACGGAACAAAAGUGUUUCACGAAGGCUAAUGGUGUUUUCAGUAAAGCCCAUUAUGUUUUAGAUCAAGUGUCAAUCUGCGUCGUAGUAAAGGAUUACAGACUUAUCUCCGAUCACGGACGAGAAAUCCAUUGAUAGCAUGCCCUAAGAGGAUUUGUAUGUUCAUUUCCAUAUGACUGGAAUAAUAGGAUGUUGGUAAAUUUAAAUUCAUUGGAUAGAAGUUAACUUAAUAGAAAAUAUCUACUAUUUGAUUAAUAAUAAGCUGACAGAGAUUUUUCGGUAAGCGUUUAUUUAUAGACUUGUAGUAUUGUGCAAACUUUAAUUUCAGAGGAUUUACAUUUUAACAAGGGCUUUUUGAAUUCUUGUCGGUAAGAGUUUAAUCAUAAAUUAAUAGAAUUGUGUAAAGUAAGAAGAGCUUUAUGAAUUCUUUUCGUUAAUCAUAAAAUAACAGAAUUUUGCAAAGUAAGAAGAUCUUUCUAAAUUCUUUUCGGUAUGCGUUUAAUCAUUAAAAGAUCAUAUUGUACACCGGCAGUAAAAACUUCAGAAAUUUAUCCAUAAGCGUUUAAUGGUAUAAUGAUAGAAUGGUGUUAGAUAGUAAGAGCUACCAGAAUUUGUUUCGGUAAGCGUUUAAUCAUAAACUAAAAGUAUUGUGCAAGAUACGAAAAGCUUUCUGAAUUCUGUUUUCGGUAAGUCUUUAAUCAUCAAACGAUAUUUUGUGCAAGGUAAUACAGUUUCCUGAAUCCUAUUUGGUAAGCAUUUAAUAAUAUAAUUAUAGAAUUGUGCAAGGUAGUAAGAGCGAUCAAAAAUCUGUUCGGUUUAGCAUUUGAUAAUAGUAUGACAGAAUCAAGUAAGGUAGUAAUUAUAAGAGCUAUCAGAAAUAUUUUAGGAAAGCGUUUAAUAACGAAAUGAUAGAAUUGUGUAAGGUAGAACGAGCUACCAGAAAUCUCUUCGGUUAGCGUCUAAUAACGAAAUGAUAGAAUUGUGUAAGGUAGUACGAGCUACCAGAAAUCUUUUCGGUAAGCGUUUUAGAACGAAAUGAUAGAAUUGUGUAAGGUAGUACGAGCUACCAGAAAUCUUCUCGGUAAGCGUUUUAAGAACGAUAAUUGGUAAGUAGUCGAGCAUCAGAAAUCUUUUCGGUAAGCGUUUUUCGUAAGCGUUUUAGAACGAAAUGAUAGAAUUGUGUAAGGUAGUACGAGCUACCAGAAAUCUUUUCGGUAAGCGUUUUAUAAGAAUAUUAUUGUACAAGGUAGUAAGAAGAGGGCCCCAUAAGAACUAUCAGGAAUAUUUUCGAUAUGCGUUCCAUUAUAAAACGAUACUAGAACUAUACAAGGUAGUAAGAGCUAUCAGAAAUCUUUCCGGGAAGCGUUUAAUAAUAAAAAUGAUAUGAAUUGUACAAGGUAGACAUUUAUUCUGUAUAUGUAAGCGUUUAAUCAUAAAAUAAUAGAAUUGUGCAAGGUAGUAAAAGCUACUAGACAUAUUGUCUGUAAGAGGUAAGCGUUUAAUAUUAAAACGAUAGAUUUGGAGUAAUAUAGUAAGAGCUUCCAAAAACCUUUUCUGAAAGUGGUAAGCGUUUAAUAAUAAAACGAUAGAAUUGUGCAAGGUAGUAUUUAACAGCAAAUAGAAAUUGGUUGAUUGAUUGAUAUGUAAUGCAACGUUCAACACUAUAGUUCUAUUUCGUACUGGUCAGUUUUAAUCAAUUGAGGACGCCAGAGACCCUGGUGAAACCAACCGAUCGUCGGUAGCAAAACUGACAAUCCUAAUAUUGAGAAUGGAAAUGGGGAAUACCAAAAACACAACCCGACCAUAGAGAAGACAACCAGAAGUCACCACACCUCAUCAAUACAAACGAAAAUUCUCGCACCCGGAGCGCCUUCAGCUGCCCCUAAACAAAUAUAUACUGUUCAUGAUAAUGAACACCAUCUAAUCCAAAUUGUACACAAGAAACUAAAGUUAAAAUGUACAGACUAACAAAGGCCAGAGCUCCUGACUUGGGACAGACGCAAAAAAUGCGGGUUAACAUUUUUGAAAAUCCACCCUCCCCCAUACCUCUAGCCAAUGCAGAAAAGUAAACUCAUAACAAUACGCCACAUUAAAAUUCUUCAAGAGAGUCCGAGUCUGAUGUCAGAAGAUGUAACCAAAGAAAAUAAACAAAAUGACAAUAAUACAUAAAUAUAACAUCAGACUGACAUGCCAGCUCCGGACCUCAGUUAAACUGAUUGAAAAAUUAUGUCUUCAUCAUAUGAAUAUCAGGCACAAACCUCCCCGUGAGGGGUUUAGUAUCAUACCAUCAUAACAUAUAUAGAACAUACCAUGUCAUUGCCAAAAACUGGUUUAUUAAUAAAGAAUAAAUGUUUAUUCCGAUGCAAAGACCCUAUAAGUGAAUAAAUAUUAACGCCAAAAUAUGCAAUCUUUAAUGACCUACAACAGUAUCGUAACUAUAUCCCUUCUUAAUCUAUUUAAAGGUUUUGUUAGCUUCUGAGUGAAUAAUGACAUGUUUUGCUUUAUAAAUCCUAGUCAAUUAUGUUCAUGGUCGAGUGCAUUCGAACAACUUCAGAGUUGAAUGGCUAUCGAUACCAGAAUCAGAACUUAGAAUAUAAUUAUAAAACUAUAGAAUUGUGUUAUCUGUUAAAGACAAUUACCAUUAAAACCAAGGAGUAAACACAGACUAAAAAAAUCAACAUCAACAGUUACAAAUAAAAAAGAAACCAACACGACCUCCACAAAAAAGCGGGAGUGAAUUCAGGUGCUCCAGAAGGAUAAAUAGUUAUUAAAGGUACAAGGAUUAUAAUUUUUUAAGCCAGACGCGCGUUUCGUCUACUAAAGACUCAUCAGUGACGCUCAGAUCAAAAUAGUUGUAAAGCCAAACAAGUACAAAGUUGAAGAGCAUUGAGGACCCAACAUUCCAAAAAGUUGUGCCAAAUAAGGCUAAGGUAAUCUAUUCCUGGGAUAAAACAAUCCUUAGUUUUCAAAAAAAAUCAAAGUUUUGUAACAGAAAAUUUUUAAAAAUAAUAACAUAAUUGAUAUUCAUGUCAACACCGAAGUGCUGACAACAGGGCUGGUGAUACCUUCGGGAACGAAACGUCCACCAGCAGUGGCAUCGACCCAGUAGUGUAAAUAGUUAUCAAAGGUGGUAAGCAUUUCCUGCACCAAAUACAGCACCUGUCGUGAUAUUUCUUUGUUCAGUUCGGAAAUGAUGGAAGGUUAUGACUGAGGAAGAAUAUCAGAUAUGAGUUCUUACACACGUUUGUCGUAAUGGCCAAUCAGCUCAUGAUGGCGACCGUAAAAUUUCGUGAGUGAUGACCUUAAUUUGAUUGAUUCACAUAGCCCAGUCUUAUCAACUUUUAGAAAGCAGUAUUCCUCGUUCAACAAAAUCAACGUACUUUGAGCUAGCUCUGGAAUAACGUUCUUUUGAUACACAUAUACUCCAUAUGCUGGUGCCGCUGGGAUGUUGCUACACAGAAAUGGAAAUUCAGUUGACUAUAGGAAAAUUAAAAUUAUAGCUAUUAAAUACUUUUUUAAAACUGUAUAAGGGAUUGCCAAGAAUAGUUAUAUAAACGUAACUUUUCAAUAUCACCAUUUGGCAGUUACUGUUAGUGCCGUAAUAAAAGGUCUUCAGUGACGUAGACGUAGACAAACACGAAAAGAGGGUCAGGUUAAAAUCCUUUGUAGAAAAAAAAAUGAAUAUAGUAGUCAAGAAGUAAAUAAAAAUCUUAUUUCAUUUUCAUUUUUUUUUCCAGUGAUGUGUUAUCCUCGUUGUACUUUUAACUUCGCCCCAGCUCCUAUUCCCCUUUAUAUCUUUUAUUGUCAAGUUUUCAAUAUUUUGGCCACGAGCAUCACUGAAGAGACAUGUAUUGUCGAAAUGCGCAUCUGGUGCAAAAAAUUGGUACCGUUAAUUUUAUUUCAACCAUUCUUUUAUGAUACUCAUUCUGUGUUUGGUUUUUUUUCUCUUUCUCGAGCGUAAAGCAGUAAAUAUUUAUUUUGUAAGCAAUAUGUAUGGAAUUAAUUCCCAAUUGUCAUAAAUACAAAUGAUAUCUUUUUGGAAAGUUUUUCGAGCAAACAGAAACAAGAACAUCGGAAUUAAUUGCUCUGAAAUGCAUUUUCAGAGUCAUAAAAGAUUGUUUUAUAACAAAAAUUAACUAAUUAUUGAUACAUUGAUAGUAAAAUAAGGUAGUUUUCCAAUGCAAAAAGUAUAGAUCUUUUCAAUGUUUUACGCCGGAUAUUUGUUAAAUGGCGCCCGGUGGCAAACGUAAUACAUGUUAUGGGGAAAUUGUACAAUACAUACACAAAAACUAUGCAAACCACAUUCUUAUCGAGUAAUUUAACAACCAUAAUAGCUAUAUCCAACGUACUGUUCUGUUCGUAUUGAAUGUAAAAGUAUAAAAGGUAUAUUUCAAAAUCACAUUAAUUGUCAAAGCCUUCAUAGAAUCACAAAGUUUAAUUAUCAGGAGGAUUCCACUAGCCUAAAGCAUGAAAAACUAUUAAAAUCCUUUAUUUUCGCAUUUAAAAGAUAAUUAUUUGGGUAAACAGAUACAAAAGAUAAAAAGAAUAAUUACAGAAUUUCCACAGGGAAUAUUUUAAAAGUACAUCAGUUUUCUCUCCCUAUGUUAAUGGUAAUGAUUUGCCUGGAAUAUUACAAAACAUAAGAUAAAGAAUCACAAAUGUUCAGAAUAAAAAUUCAAUAGAAACUAUAUGAAGAAUUUAUAGAAAAGUUCCCGUGGCACUCGUCUUAUAAUUAUAAAAAAAAAACGAUACCAUUUUUGCACUAGAUGUAUUCUAUAGUAGUAGUGGGGUUCUAAAAAUUCAAGUUAUUACAUUCUAAUUGUAUAAGACGCAUAAGUAAAUAAUACACAAAACAAUAGUGUCGCAAUACAAUAGUGUCGGCCCUCGUACUGGAUUCGACGUUUACGUGAACAUUACAAAGAAAGAAUGAAAACAACCUUAGUAAUACAGUCAAAUAAAAAUAAAGUAUUAUCGAAUGACAUAUAAUCAAAGUAUUAUAUCUGCACGAUACAAAAAACACAACAAAUUUACCUCCACACUGAUCUAGUUCGUAUUUCGUGUUUUUACUGACAAGGGAUAUAACUAUAUAAAAAUGUUAAACCCAAAACCUAGCGCGUAUCUCCGCGUCUGUUACAUAUUUAUAAUUGUUAAGAAAGCGUAAUACAUACUAGAUUUGAUAACAAUAAUUAACGAAAACGAGUUUAACCUCGCAACAUUUUGUAUGUGCUUGUCCCAAGUCAAGAGCCUGCAAUUCGGUGGUUGUAAUGACAUUAAACAAUGCAAUCUUAAUUACUUAAAUUUGUCUCUUAAAAAUUGCUUCACAAUUUUAAAAUUUUCACUUUCCAAACUUGUUCUUCCCUUAGCUCAUUGUUGGUGACCUUUGUUUUUGAAAUACUUGACCUCAAACAGUCUAAGUCAAAGUCUUUCCGGGUUUGAAAUAAUUAAAAUAUGAAUAAAGAGGAAUACAAAAAGAUUAUAAUAUGACAUUGUAAGUAUGAUACAUUGUGUUCUUGAUUUAUUAGUAAUUCAAUUUUGUAUUGAUGAUAAUUAUUUUUAUGAUAAACCUGACAAUGCAGUAUUUUUUCCAGCACUGAGCUAACUCUACAUGCACAUCCAUCGGGACAAACAACUUUACAGAUACAGAAAAUAAAACAUUUAAAUGAUACAGAUGCACAGAAAGUAAAACAUUUAGAUGAUUAAACUAAAUGCACAGGAAUAUAAAAGUCAAUGGAAUGGUUAUGGUUUUACUAAUUAAAUUAUUUGAAGGAAAAUAAGCAAAUUCAAUUAAAAAAUAAACGAAGCUAAUACAAUCAUGAAGGAAUAAAAGCGAGGACCUUGUUAUACUGUUUAUAUUACCAAUAUCAAACCUUUAUACGUCCUUACAAAGUGAUUCUGAAGAGUUUCUCUGUGUAGAUUGUAUAUACAUGAAAUGAUUGCGAUUUAUUCGAGGAGAAGUUUUUAAGAAAUCAGGAUAAAUGAAGCAGAUAAACUUCAUGUAACUAAACAAAAUAAUCGAUUUUGGUCCUAGUCUUGUUAACAGAUACCGAAAGAUCCAAGGUCACUCGAAAGAAAGAUUUUACUGUGCCGAAAGUAAUUUAAAAAACUAUGAGUGAAAAAAGUCUGAAAAAGGCUUUGUUGAAAAAAUCAUCAUCGCCUUAUCCGGAAAGAAAGAAAAGACCUCGAUUGAAAUUUGCAUGGAAUCGUGAACAAGCGGUAGAUUACGAAAACUGUAAACAAAUUGAUAUCUUUAUUCAAGACGUGAUUGAGAAGGCUAAAGAGGAUUACUUAAACACUUAUUCACAACAAAAUGGUCAAUGUAUGGAUGAAGAUACACCAG